rnacentral:rRNA from 1 species
UACGGAGGGAGCUAGCGUUGUUCGGAAAUACUGGGCGUAAAGCGCACGUAGGCGGCGCGGCAAGUCAGGGGUGAAAUCCCGGGGCUCAACCCCGGAACUGCCCUUGAAACUGCAGUGCUAGAAUCUUGGAGAGGCGAGUGGAAUUCCGAGUGUAGAGGUGAAAUUCGUAGAUAUUCGGAAGAACACCAGUGGUGAAGGCGACUCGCUGGACAAGUAUUGACGCUGAGGUGCGAAAGCGUGGGGAGCAAACAGG